AUGACGUAAACAAGAUGGCUGCGUAGUGGUGUUUAUAUUAUUGAUUCACACGCACUGAUCACAGAAAUGAAAAAGGGUCGUUUAUAUUCCACGCAGUUUAUUUUCAGCACGGAUUAUAUUCAUAUCGGGCUAUUCCUCUGAUUUUCUCGAUUUUUGUAGUGGUCGGAAGGACCACAUUUCGAAGACAAUUUAAUAUGGUAAAGAACUGCUUAACGUUACAUUAAAACCAUCGCUCUCGUCAACCCUUCAGAUGAAGCUUCGGCCAAAGUGGACUCUGUGGAGAGUGAGUCGAGUUCAAAAAGCAGAAGUAGUUCUCACAGUAGAGGAAGAGAAAACCGGAAACGAGCAAGAAGCCGAAGCCGAUCCUCCUCAUCAUCUUCCAGUUCUUCCUCCUCCUCCUCCUCAUCCUCUUCUUCACAUUCUUCAUCCAGCAGUUCAUCAUCACAUAGUAACUCCAGCUCCAGUAGCUCAGAUUCUUGCAAAAAACAAAGCAAAUCUUCGAAGAAAAGGAAAGAUAAUCAUGGCAAAAAGAAAGGAAAAAAAGAGAAAACACGUAAGCGGAAGAAGGAAAAGGGACACAAAGAGCAGGACGACAGCUUUGGACCUGUUCAAAUUUCAAAGUAUCUUAAGGAAAAGAAGAAAACCGGCAAGUACAGUAUGAUUUCAGGGAAAAAGAUUAAAAUGAAAGUGAAAAAAUCAAAGAAGGACAAGCAGCGGGACAAAAACAGAGCAGAACUGCUGGAGUUCUUGAACUCCACUUUCUGAUUCAGUUCAUUAUUCACCUGGCCGCCACUCAGGGAAAGACCAUCUUCAACUAUUAAUGGGUUUGCCUGAUGUUAUACAUUGACAGUUCCUUACCAUAAACUAUGUAGAUGGUUGUCCCCCUUUUUUUAUUAUUAUUAUUCCAGACUGUGUCCUGAAAUACUUAUUGUAUGUCUGAUUGACUGUAUCCUAUAAGAACUGUAGCUUGAAUGUAACAUUGUCAUAGAACAUUGUUACUGAAAUUGUCAAAAAAACGUGUACAGUUUGUCAUCGGGGACAUGAAGGUUGUUUAUCUAACAAACUAUUCAAAUUUGAAACAACAGUGUAGUCAUGUUGUUCCAGUGGCGUGUUUCUUGUUAUCCCAUGAUAAUCUGUGUAUUUAUUGUGCUGAGCCAAAUGCAGAAGCACCUCUAGCGGGUAGCUGAACGCUUACGAUCUUCCUUUGUGACACACGUGCGUCUGACCGUACUUAUGACAAUACUGUUAAAUAAAUUUCCAGUUUGUGUCCUUUA